rnacentral:rRNA from 1 species
UACAGAGGGGGCAAGCGUUGUCCGGAAUUACUGGGCGUACAGCGCGCGCAGGCGGUUGCCGACGUGCCGUGUGACAACGGGGCUCAACCCCCGAGGGCCACGGUAAACGGGGCGACUGGAGGAAGGGAGAGGGAUGUGGAAUGCCCGGUGGAGCGGUGAAAUGCGUAGAGAUCGGGCGGAACACCAGCGGCGAAGGCGGCAUCCUGGCCCUUACCUGACGCUGAGGCGCGAGAGCGUGGGGAGCAAACCGG